rnacentral:misc_RNA from 1 species
GUUGCUCUUUUUCGGACUAAGAAAGCAGGUAAGUGAUCAGAAGAAGGGUAAGGGAGAAAAGAUGCGGAUAAUCGUGAGGAAAUGAAUGGAGUGCAGAGAAGAUGAGGAAGGAAGAUGACAAAGAAGUCGAUUGAGUACGAGCCGCGUUCUUUUGAGCCUUAAAACCCCAUCACAAAAAAUACAUAGAAAUAUCAAAUAUCCAUAGAC